UACGGAGGGUGCAAGCGUUAUCCGGAUUCACUGGGUUUAAAGGGUGCGUAGGCGGCUAUAUAAGUCAGUGGUGAAAGCCCGCAGCUCAACUGCGGGAUUGCCAUUGAAACUGCAUAGCUUGAAUCUGGUUGAAGUGGGCGGAAUACAUCAUGUAGCGGUGAAAUGCUUAGAUAUGAUGUAGAACACCGAUUGCGAAGGCAGCUCACUAAGCCAACAUUGACGCUGAGGCACGAAAGCGUGGGUAGCGAACAGG
rnacentral:rRNA from 1 species